UACGUAGGGUGCGAGCGUUAAUCGGAAUUACUGGGCGUAAAGCGUGCGCAGGCGGUCCGCUAAGACCGAUGUGAAAUCCCCGGGCUUAACCUGGGAACUGCAUUGGUGACUGGCGGGCUGGAGUAUGGCAGAGGGGGGUAGAAUUCCCCGUGUAGCAGUGAAAUGCGUAGAGAUGUGGAGGAAUACCGAUGGCGAAGGCAGCCCCCUGGGCGAAUACUGACGCUCAUGCACGAAAGCGUGGGGAGCAAACAGG
rnacentral:rRNA from 1 species